rnacentral:tRNA from 1 species
GGUGAUGGCUCAGCGGUAGAGUGCUUGCCUAGCACGUGUGAGGCCCUGGGUUUGAUCCUCAGCACCA